GAGGAAAACAAAAGAUGUUUCAUGUUCAAUAAUAUAACUUUUGUUUUCCUUUCCACAGCACAUAUUUUUGUAGAUAUUUGUGUUGUCAAGUAAUUGAGUUUGCCGUUCGAUUGACUGCCAUUCGAGGGAUUGUUGUGCCCUUGUCUUUCAGGCAAGAUGCAUAAAUUGUAGGGCACCCACUUGAGAGGACUCUCGGGCUGUGCCCCGCCCCCCUCUCGGCAGUUGUUUGGACUCAACACAUUUGACAGAUUUUUGACGUGCGCCCCGUGAUUUGUCAUUGACAUCAUUAUGGACGCGGACGCGGAUCUCCCUCGCCCAAAGCGCUGCAGACAAACGGGCUGCAACACUUCAGAGGAGAGGAAUCAGAGUCUGAUCGGAGUCGAAGUCGGGUACUUCAUCUGUGCCGCUUGGAUAAACAGAAUAGAUGGAACGAUGGAACGUUGGAGGGUGGCCGGAGCCGCUGCCAGUUGUUUGUAUAAAUAAUUGCGUUUUUGACAUUCCCUCAGUCCCCCCACCCCCCACCAGCCAUUCCAUAUUUAGGGGGGGCGGCCCCUCCGGGGGACUUAACUUAAUUGCGCACCAGACGCAGUCCCCGAGGCCUCGAGAAGCUUACCCAAAACUCCAUAUUACAAUAAUUUAAUUUAUGCUUGCUAUUUAUUAUUUUCUAAAUUGUUUUGGAACGUGCCGCCGCCGCCACCGCCGCGGCGGCAGCCCUCGGGCUCCAAUAAAUUUCGUCAACUAAU